AUUGAACGCUGGCGGCAGGCCUAACACAUGCAAGUCGAACGAGUGGCGGACGGGUGAGUAAUGUAUGGGAAACUGUCCGCUGGAGGGGGAUAACUCCUGGCAACGGUAGCUAAUACCGCAUACCAUCGGAUGUGCCCAGAUGGGAUUAGCUAGUAGGUGGGGUAACGGCGCACCUAGGCGACGCUCCCUAGAUGGUCUGAGAGGCUGACCCGCCACACUGGAACUGCGACACGGUCCAGACUCCUACGGGAGGCAGCAGUGGGGAAUAUUGCACAAUGGGCGAAAGCCUGAUGCAGCCAUGCCGCGUGUAUGAAGAAGGCCUUCGGGUUGUAAAGUACUUUCAGCGGGGAGGCGUUAUCCGCAGAAUAAGCACCGGCUAACUCCGUGCCAGCCGCCGCGGUAAUAC
rnacentral:rRNA from 1 species